ACUAAAUAAAUCAUAAAAAGGCAUAACAUUUUAUAAACAAAUCCACACAAGAUACACAUACAUAUAUAACUGUGUAAAAGUCCAAAAGUGCAUUCUCAAAAGUCUUAACUGGAACGCAGCGCCGCAAUUUCAAUAAAAAACUUCGCAUUUUCCAAUGUAGCCGUUUGGGGAAAAUUAACACGAGCGUGGUUGUUUCGUGUUAAAUAUCGAACAGAUUGUAUUCCCAACAAUAAUUGAAUGCAUUUCAUUGUCACUGCUCACUUUGCUUUCGUAGCCGCUUUGAAAAAGUGAAAUUAUUCGCAUUAUUAUUUAUAUAUACGUGUGUGCAUUUCCGUAUUUAAAAUAUUCAAAUAAUUUCUAACACAAUUAUAUGAAAAAUCAACAAAAAAAAAAAAAACCACAACUAAACACAAACAGCAAGUCACGAGAGUUUAGAUUAUUUCGUAUUUCAAUGGGGUGACUUGUGGAACAGUGCUCUCCUGAACCCGGGACCAAAAGGGACUUCAUUGACCAAAACUCAAAUUAACUUCAGCCU